rnacentral:rRNA from 1 species
UGCGCAGGCGGCUCCGCAUGUCAGGCGUGAAAUCCCCGAGCUUAACUUGGGAAUUGCGCUUGAAACUACGGGGCUGGAGUGUGGCAGAGGGAGGUGGAAUUCCACGUGUAGCGGUGAAAUGCGUAGAGAUGUGGAGGAACACCGAUGGCGAAGGCAGCCUCCUGGGCCAACACUGACGCUCAUGCACGAAAGCGUGGGGAGCAAACAGGAUUAGAUACCCUGGUAGUCCACGCCCUAAACGAUGUCUACUAGUUGUUGGGGGAGUUAAAUCCCUUAGUAACGCAGCUAACGCGUGAAGUAGACCGCCUGGGGAGUACGGUCGCAAGAUUAAA